CAGCCGACGCGGAUGCCUCCCAGCAACAAAGACGAGUCUGUUCAUUCUCCUCGCUCCCAGGGCUCCAUAUAUGUAGAUGGAGCCCUAAGAAACUGUCUCCUCAGCUACCAAGGAAAACCCCAAACCACGUCUUUUUCUUCUAGCUCGUCUGCACCUCGGUUUAAUUUCCUGUAAUACUGGACUGUGACUUGCCAGCUGGAGUAGUUCGUGUAAUGGUGAGGUUUUCCACUUCGAAGAAGGAUCAUGAACUACCAAAGGAGUGGAAGCACCAGCGACCUCAUUCACCUCAACAAAUUUCCGACGAUCCUUCAGAAUCUAUUCAUACUUGUUCUUCCUUCUAUAUUGAGGUUAAACUACACCCAGUAGACUGAAUGCUGGCGAAAAUGACAACAUGCAUGAAUAAGCCAAACUGUGUUGUCAAUGUGCUACA